GUAUGUGCUGGUGUGCUACAUAAAAUCAUAAUGAAAUAAAUGGAGGUUUGUAGAUGGAGAAAAAAUACAGCAGGAAAGUGAUGUGGAUAGUUUUUCAAGGUACUGCACUCUUUAUCGGUUUCCUCUGUUUAAUUCUUUGAUAGUGAAAUGGACACGGAACAGAAUCUGAGAGAAAAAUCUCCGUCUGUCUUCCGCAGAGAGAAAGUGUGUCCUUUGUCCAACCUCUGGGACUGGCUGACAUUUCUGCUAACGCCCGUCACAUGAAGGGUCAGACGCCUCUGACCGCAGAAAAGGCCAGAUAUCUCUCUGUGUUUUAAGCUGUGUUCUCAUUUCAUGUUUCAGAAGCUCCAACACAGAUACUGAGUGGCUUUCCACAGCUGCCGGAUGUGGAACGUGUUAAAUUUGCAUUAAUCCCAUCAGUUAGCAACACAUGCUCUCCUUGUGCAAUCUGAGAGAGUGAGCGCUGGUAGAGCUUACGGUCUCCCUCGGCCCUCUGAUGCACUGCGCUCUCCCUCUGCGCUCAGCCCUUUGGGGGAAGACGUUAGCUGGAUGCGAAGCAGGCAAGAAGGACGGCAGCACAGAGAGAGAGAGGAGGGGGAAAGAGUUUCAGCUGAGUGCAGCGAUUUUCUCCCAACUCCCGGAUGGCUCCCAGAUGUUUUUUUUUUUUUUUUUUGGAAAGCCAGCACUUUCUUU